UGGGAUAUAGGGAACUCUGGUUGUUAAUUUAAGGUCGGACGGACACAACUCAGGGUGGAUGGGCAUUCAAAGUGGACGGACGUAGUUCAAAAUGUUUCAGGUUGAAGACUAGGUGGACCUUCUUUCUUGGCGCUAAGACUAAACGGAUCUUGAUGGUCGAAUGGAUUCGCUGUAGACUGAACGAUCGCCUUGUUGUCCCAAGUUGUUCGUUCUCCUUCCAUUUUCUCCAAGUCGAGCGGGCGGAUACCUGUCAAAGGCACUCCAACGUAAGUCAAUAAAAAUGACCGAACGAUUAUCAUUAUAAGUGAUGUACGUAGUAUGCAUAAUGUGGUCUGAAAUCAUACCUGGAACUUUUAUUUAUAUCAGUUGUAAUGAGUUUUUACUUUUUGUGAACCUGAU
rnacentral:lncRNA from 1 species